GUGCCAGCCGCCGCGGUAAUACGUAGGGGGCCAGCGUUGUCCGGAUUCAUUGGGCGUAAAGCGCGUGUAGGCGGCCAGGUAGGUCCGAUGUGAAAUCUGGAGGCUCAACCUCCAGCGGUCAUUGGAAACCAUCUGGCUAGAGUCCGGAAGAGGAGAGUGGAAUUCCUGGUGUAGCGGUGAAAUGCGCAGAUAUCAGGAAGAACACCAAUGGCGAAGGCAGCUCUCUGGGACGGUACUGACGCUGAGACGCGAAAGCGUGGGGAGCGAACAGGAUUAGAAACCCUUGUAGUCC
rnacentral:rRNA from 1 species